GGCACAAAUCAGUGAAACACACUGGGCUGCUGAUUUGCUCCCAGUUCCCAUCAUCUAUGACCGAGUCGCAGAAGUGGGAAGAGAAGGCGAAGAAGAAGAUAUGUGGAGAGAAAGAAAGAUGACAGAGUGGGGAGUCGGGAGCUAGGCCUCCCUAACAACCCAAGCAUGCUUGCUGUUCCCUAAGGUCACUGGUAGCCAGCUCAUUGGAACAAGGCUGUGCUGUCUCUAGUAUAUCUCAGGAAGUGACAGAAGGGACACAUGAGAGUGAGACCUUAGGGCUGUUGGCUAAGGAUGAAGGCUGGUGCCAGGCAAGGAGAUGCUCACCUGAUGCCAGCAGAAGAGAAGCUCACCUCCUAGAAAGAGGUUGCAUCCAGUUCUAUUCUGCAAUUUGUCAGACCACCUCACAAGACAAUUUUAUGCUAAGACAAUAAUAGGUCAAUGAUGGGUGGAAUCACAUCUUGGCCUGGACGGGUUAGCCAUCCAUACAUACUACCUCUUGCAUUCUAUUUGAAACUAAGUCUCAUGCCAGGACUCCAGAGAUUAGCUCGGGGUGAGCCGCUGAAUCUUUUUGUUCCUCUUCCCUGUGUAUCCACAUUGAGCAGAUCUCCUUUUUCUGUUUUCAACUGUUUAUUGUGCCUUUCAGUGGCCUAAUGAGGACGCAUGGUUGAGCCCAGCGUGUU
rnacentral:lncRNA from 1 species